UCAGACGAUGCGUCAUGCAUAUCAAUAAGCGGAGGAAAAGAAACUAACAAGGAUUCCCUUAGUAACGGCGAGUGAAGCGGGAAGAGCUCAAAUUUGAAAUCUUCAAGGUUUUACCUUGACGAAUUGUAGUUUAAAGAAGUGUUUUCUGCUGAAGUUUUGGUAAAAGUUCUUUGGAAUAGGACAUCAUAGAGGGUGAGAAUCCCGUAUUUGACCAUUAUUUUCAGCUUUGUGAUACACUUUCAAAGAGUCGGAUUGUCUGGGAAUGCAGUCCAAAAUGGGUGGUAAAUUUCAUCUAAAGCUAAAUAUUGGCGAGAGACCGAUAGCGAACAAGUACCGUGAGGGAAAGAUGAAAAGAACUUUGAAAAGAGAGUUAAACAGUACGUGAAAUUGUCAAAAGGGAAGCGUUUGACACCAGUGUUGUUUUCUCGAAAAUCAAUUAAAAAUGGCUCGAUUUUGUAUUGCUUGAGACCUUAAAAGCUCACUGUACAUUUUUCGUGUCUUUUUUAAUGCACUUUUCGUUUAACAAGUCAACAUCAGUUUCUUUUGUUGUAAAAGGGUCAUUGGAAGGUGGCUUUCUUUUCGGAGAAAGUGUUUAUAGCCUUUGGCCUCUGCAAUCGGAGAGACUGAGGUCUGCAGCGUAGACUCUUCGGGGUUAGAUACAUUUGUGCUAAGUUAUAGCUUUUUAUAGACAACUUGUUGACUAUAAUUAGUCUUGUAGCUUACUCGCUUAUGCUAUUUUACCUACGCUUAGGAUGUUGACGAUCAGCUGAGCGCG
rnacentral:rRNA from 1 species